UAAAAAUAAUUUUGUGUUCGCGGUUCUUCCGGAGAAAUAUUUUGCAUUUUCAUUUCUGGUUCGCUUCUCCUACGAGUGUCUGGUUCGCUUCUCCUACGAGUGUCUACGAGUGUGCGUUUUCGUUUCUGUUUCACUUCAUCUACGAGCGUGCAUUUUCGAUUCUGCGAUCAGUCACUGCAAUCCUAAAUCUCGCGUCUCUGCUCCGUUUCAAUUGCCGUGCGUGUGGCAUUUUCAUUAGUGUGUUGCGUCAAGCUGUAGGCUCCUUCGUUUCGUUCGUUUUAGGGCUUCCGUUUUAGGUAUCUUGUUGCCUCUUCCACCUUCUGAUUCGUUUCUUUUUUGCCCUAUUUUCAUGAAAAUGCAUUUUUCAGCAGGUGUUGAUGGCGUCACUGAAGCACUGUUUUAGAGCUGUGUUGGUCUACUAGGNGUAGGAUAUUUGUUCGUGCAGUGGGUUUAGGAANGACACUACUCUGGAAAAACCCUGAACAGAAGAGAACAAUGAGAUAUUGUCCAUACUUGUCAAUAUGGAUUCAAUUUUGAGGAGGCUUGCACAACUAUAGACAAAUGUGGUGUGUUUAGUGUGUAAUUGUUACUCUUAUAUAUGUUAUCAACACAUUUUAAGUUUCUUUUUGUUUUAUUUUCGUCUCUCCAGUAUCAGCCGUAUUAAAUGGUCUAAGAUGGUCAAUUAAAUAAUGAAAAAGGAGAUUUGUCUGGUGAUGGUUCUUAAAUAUUUAUUUUUGAGCAACAUUUGUCAGGUCCUAAAGCGGUGAUCUGGUAGAUUUCAUCANUGCUUUUCAAUUAGAAGAUGAAAUUGACUUGCUUCAAGAUCUGCCUAAAGAUAAACAUGUUGCACCUGUUGAUACAUAGAGUAUUUUUCUAGUUGAAGACGUCAACAAUAUCUUGACAAUUAAAUCAUUAAAGUUAGGAAAGACUGGUGUUUAUAUGUAAUUAGUAUAUGUUCAUAG